rnacentral:rRNA from 1 species
CUGCGAAUGGCUCAUUAUAUAAGUUAUCGUUUAUUUGAUAGUACCUUACUACUUGGAUAACCGUGGUAAUUCUAGAGCUAAUACAUGCUAAAAAUCCCGACUUCGGAAGGGAUGUAUUUAUUAGAUUAAAAACCAAUGCCCCCCGGGGCUCUCUGGUGAUUCAUGAUAACUUCUCGAAUCGCACGGCCUUGCGCCGGCGAUGGUUCAUUCAAAUUUCUUCCCUAUCAACUUUCGAUGUUUGGGUAGUGGCCAAACAUGGUUGCAACGGGUAACGGAGGGUUAGGGCUCGACCCCGGAGAAGGAGCCUGAGAAACGGCUACUACAUCCAAGGAAGGCAGCAGGCGCGCAAAUUACCCAAUCCCGAUUCGGGGAGGUAGUGACAAUAAAUACUGAUACAGGGCUCUUUCGGGUCUUGUAAUUGGAAUGAGUACAAUUUAAAUCCCUUAACGAGGAACAAUUGGAGGGCAAGUCUGGUGCCAGCAGCCGCGGUAAUUCCAGCUCCAAUAGCGUAUAUUAAAGUUGUUGUGGUUAAAAAGCUCGUAGUUGAACCUUGGGCCUGGCUGGCCGGUCCGCCUCACCGCGUGUCACUGGUCCGGCCGGGUCUUUCCCUCUGUGGAACCACAUGCCCUUCACUGGGCGUGGCGGGGAAACAGGACUUUUACUUUGAAAAAAUUAGAGUGCUCCAGGCAGGCCUAUGCUCGAAUACAUUAGCAUGGAAUAAUGAAAUAGGACGUGCGGUUCUAUUUUGUUGGUUUCUAGGACCGCCGUAAUGAUUAAUAGGGACAGUCGGGGGCAUCAGUAUUCAAUUGUCAGAGGUGAAAUUCUUGGAUUUAUUGAAGACUAACUACUGCGAAAGCAUUUGCCAAGGAUGUUUUCAUUAAUCAGGAACGAAAGUUAGGGGAUCGAAGACGAUCAGAUACCGUCGUAGUCUUAACCAUAAACUAUGCCGACUAGGGAUCGGACGAUGUUAUUUAGUUGACUCGUUCGGCACCUUACGAGAAAUCAAAGUG